rnacentral:rRNA from 1 species
UACGGAGGGGACUAGCGUUGUUCGGAAUUACUGGGCGUAAAGCGCGCGUAGGCGGACCAGUCAGUCAGAGGUGAAAUCCCGGGGCUCAACCCCGGAACUGCCUUUGAUACUGCUGGUCUUGAGUUCGAGAGAGGUGAGUGGAAUUCCGAGUGUAGAGGUGAAAUUCGUAGAUAUUCGGAGGAACACCAGUGGCGAAGGCGGCUCACUGGCUCGAUACUGACGCUGAGGUGCGAAAGCGUGGGGAGCAAACAGG